rnacentral:RNase_P_RNA from 1 species
GCUAGUGUUAAUCUCGCACUUGGAGCACCCAUACGAGUACGUCCUCGGUUACUCACCACAACUGCUUCGGGAAGGUCUGAGAUUAAGCUGUCCUGCCGUUUGGUGGGAAAUGCCUCAGCAAGGCGCUUUCUUGAACGAAGGGUUUCGUUACCAGAAAAAGUACUGUGAGUACAUUUAGCUGCUUUCAGGUGGUCCCACUGCACCGCACUCCCAAAUUGCAUACUCGGUUGUGGCAGAUGGAUUGUCAAGAAUGCAACAGCUGUUUUCUUGGUUGUUAUAUUAUUUACCGGGAUCUCGUUCUCGGUGAAUAAUAGUAAUUACCGAGACUCGUUGAAGUUUGGGCCGUAAUGGGUAAACUAUUACAUUGC